rnacentral:ncRNA from 1 species
GGAAAGUUUUAUUUUGGCUUUUUAUUUAUAUAAUAAAUUUAAAUAUAUGUAAGUGUUAUUUUAGAGUUUUCUUUUUGCAGUAUUUAUAUUUGAUUAUUAAGGUUACUUAGAAUCAGAAAUUUUUUUAGUUCUAACUAAUUUUGUGCCAGCAGUUGCGGUUAUACAAUUAGUGCAAUAUAAAUUUAUUUAAUGGUAAUUAGGAUUAAAAUUAAGAUUAAAUUUUUAAUAUUAGGUGAAAUUUUAUUAAAUUUAUUUUUUAUUUUCUGUUUUAUUAAAUUCUGUUUUUGAAAUCGGGAUUAGAUACCCCGUUAUUCUGAGUGUAAAUUUUUUAUUAGUAUUAGUUAAGUUCUUGAAAGUAAAAGGAUUUGGCGGUAUUUUAGUCUUUUCAGAGGAACCUGUCCUGUAAACGAUAAUCCACGAUUUAGUUACUUGAUUUAAAAAUUUGUAUAUCGUCGUAGUUGGUUAUUUUUUAAGGAUUAAAUGAUCAUUUUCUUAUAUUAAAGUUAACAUCAGAUCAAGGUGCAGUUUAUAUUCAUGUUGAGGUGGGUUACAAUAAAUUUAUUUAUAUGGUUUAAUUUUUUAGAUAUUUUUAAUAAAGUGGAUUUGAAAGUAAUAAUUUUUAUUAGAUUUUAUGAUUAAGCUCUAAAAUAUGUACAUAUCGCCCGUCACUCUCAAUUAAUUUGAGAUAAGUCGUAACAUAGUAGGCGUACUGGAAAGUGUGUCUGGAUAUAU